rnacentral:rRNA from 1 species
ACUCAAAGGAAUAGACGGGGGCCCGCACAAGCGGUGGAUCAUGUGGUUUAAUUCGAAGCAACGCGAAGAACCUUACCUGGGUUUGACAUCCUCUGACAUCCAUAGAGAUAUGGCUUUCGUAGCAAUACGACAGAGUGACAGGUGCUGCAUGGCUGUCGUCAGCUCGUGGGGUGACCUGUUGGGUUAAGUCCCGCAACGAGCGCAACCCCUGUCUUUAGUUGCCAGCAUUAAGUUGGGCACUCUAGAGAGACUGCCGUGGUUAACACGGAGGAAGGUGGGGAUGACGUCAAGUCCUCAUGGCCCUUAUGCCCAGGGCGACACACGUGAUACAAUGGUCGGUACAGAGGGCAGCGAAGUGGUGACACGAAGCAAAUCUCAAAAAGCCGAUCUCAGUUCGGAUUGGAGUCUGCAAUUCGACUCCAUGAAGGCGGAAUCGCUAGUAAUCGCGGAUCAGCACGCCGCGGUGAAUACGUUCCCGGGCCUUGUACACACCGCCCGU